ACAAGGGGAGCGAGGCGUGGAGAGACCGAGUCGAGUGGAGAAGGGAGAGGCCGGGCAGGGUCGAUACACGUCCUGUAAGGUGGCAGCUCACUGCUUCAUGCAGCAGCAGGAAUACCAACAGGAGCGUGUUGCUGUCCACUACUCCGUUGUUAAUUUACAAUGAUGAAGUGCCCCAUAGACUCCGAGUUAAAGGGUGGUGCAGUGUUUAGCGCAUGCUGCUGUGAGCCCAGGUACCGAAGUUGGAUCAUUGGCAUUGUGGUGAAGUAUGGCCAACCAACGCACGUGACCAACACGGCGUGGGGGAGGCCCUCUAUGUAAUUGAGGGCCUGUGUGUUGCCUUGGUGUGGUCACAGACUGUUUUAGCUCACCGGAUUCAUCAUCCAGGAUCAAUACAGAUUAUGACUCGGUGGGGUGACACAACGGCUCGAGUACAACGGCGUUACGCACUUCGGCGUUUGUCGUACGAGCGAACGUCUUGAUGAGUUUUGCCAUUGACGUGAGCGCUGUGUUUGGAUGCGGGGAGGCUUGGGGCGUGUGGGCUGCAGCAGCAGUGGCAGCAGCAGCGGGCGAUGGGCAAGCAGAACAGCAAGCUGCGGCCGGAGGUGCUGCAGGACCUGCGUGAGAACACCGAGUUCUCGGAGCAGGAGCUGCAGGAGUGGUACAAGGGCUUCCUCAAGGACUGCCCCAGCGGGCACCUCACGGUGGACGAGUUCAAGAAGAUCUACUCCAACUUCUUCCCGUACGGCGACGCCUCCAAGUUCGCCGAGCACGUGUUCCGCACCUUCGACGCCAACGGCGACGGCACCAUCGACUUCCGCGAGUUCAUCAUCGCGCUGAGCGUCACGUCCCGGGGCAAGCUCGAGCAGAAGCUCAAGUGGGCCUUCAGCAUGUACGACCUGGACGGCAACGGCUACAUCAGCCGGGCCGAGAUGCUGGAAAUCGUGCGGGCCAUCUAUAAGAUGGUGGCUUCCGUGAUGAAACUUCCCGAAGAUGAGUCCACGCCAGAGAAGCGAACGGAGAAGAUUUUCCAGCAGAUGGACACAAACAAGGAUGGGAAGCUGUCGGUAGAGGAGUUCAUACGCGGGGCCAAGAGUGACCCUUCCAUUGUCCGGCUCCUGCAGUGCGACCCUUCCAGUGCCACGCAGUUCUGAGGGCUGUGCUGCCUGUCCCACGUCCGUGCUCACGACUCCACGUCCGUCAACAUAAACAAGCAGGCCGGACGCCUCUCGCACACAAACAUUUAUAUUUUUUACACAUAUCCCAUCAGUCUUUUGGGGGUGCAUCAUUUCAUCAGCAUCGGCUCAACACGCGCAACACCUCUGGACCGGUUUUAACAUUCAGUGUCUCAUCAGCGCUUCAAACGAUUUUGGCGAAUUGCCAGAUGUUUGUAGCCAAGGGCCCUGUCUGUCCGACAUGGGUCCCAGUUAUUUCGUGCGAAUGUCUGCUCCCAUUAUCCCCACGCCACCAAGCCCACUCACAACAGCCAUCCACCACGCAUCACACAGGUAUCACAGCGCGUCCCACUGUGCCAUCCGUCCCAAAGAGGUAUGCUGCCUGUGUAUCUGCUGCCUUUUGUUGUUGCACGGCUGUAAUGCCUAUUUAAGUUGUUUUAAGCAGACUGCUUCGUGUGAUAUGCAUAGUAUUGAACCUUCGAUAUUGUUUACGAUGCAGUUGUUGCCGGUGUGUUUAACUUCUUUCAGGGGUAAGAAAAAACACGUGCUUAUAUUGUGCCUGCGACCGCACGCUCUGCGUGUGAGACUUGGGAGUUGGCAUGCGACGGCGUUUCUACGCGUUUCACCCUCCUGACACAUUCGGCUGGACGGCAUUGGUGGUGGUGGUGGUUACACUGCACGUGGUUGCCUGUAAUCCAGCACUGUGGAGACGGCAGCGAGGGUUGGUGGAUCACCGCACAGAUGUUGCGAGACUCCCUUACCCGUGGGCUUCAAGGAGGAGCCGUACCUCUGGCUCGCCAUGAUUAGGCGCUGCAGCAAAACAUUUACCUCGCCUAUGAACAUUUUUUUAUCCUUUCUGGCAAUAAAACAAGUGAUGUUGAGAUGAUUUAUUUUUAUUUUCCUCACCUGCAGUGGUGUAGAGUGUUACUCCCCAUCGCACACGUGGAUUUUCUCCGGUUGCACCGGUUUCUUCCCCGAGUGUAAACACUCAUUAUUUGAUCGAGAACACCGUGAUAUAUAGAGGACCGCAGAGCUUGGGGGGUGAGGGAUUUGGCGUCGGCUCCUCGCCGCGUGGCUGCUGCUUCCUUGCUGCCCAGCUGUGGUCCCCCCUCCUGGCCCCUCUGAGUCGCCCCUCUGACUGAGCGCUACAAGUUGGCAUUGAAGAGAUAAGAGCCUGCACUUGACACUACGGGGCCUGCUGAUUAGGACAUUAAAAAACUAAACAUUUAAUGAUGAACA